AAUCCAUAGGUUAAUGAGGCGAACCGGGGGAACUGAAACAUCUAAGUACCCCGAGGAAAAGAAAUCAACCGAGAUUCCCCCAGUAGCGGCGAGCGAACGGGGAGGAGCCCAGAGCCUGAAUCAGCAUGUGUGUUAGUGGAAGCGUCUGGAAAGGCGCGCGAUACAGGGUGACAGCCCCGUACACAAAAGCGCAUGUGCUGUGAGCUCGAUGAGUAGGGCGGGACACGUGGUAUCCUGUCUGAAUAUGGGGGGACCAUCCUCCAAGGCUAAAUACUCCUGACUGACCGAUAGUGAACCAGUACCGUGAGGGAAAGGCGAAAAGAACCCCGGCGAGGGGAGUGAAAAAGAACCUGAAACCGUGUACGUACAAGCAGUGGGAGCACCCUUCGGGGUGUGACUGCGUACCUUUUGUAUAAUGGGUCAGCGACUUAUAUUCUGUAGCAAGGUUAACCGUAUAGGGGAGCCGGAGGGAAACCGAGUCUUAAUUGGGCGUUAAGUUGCAGGGUAUAGACCCGAAACCCGGUGAUCUAGCCAUGGGCAGGUUGAAGGUUGGGUAACACUAACUGGAGGACCGAACCGACUAAUGUUGAAAAAUUAGCGGAUGACCUGUGGCUGGGGGUGAAAGGCCAAUCAAACCGGGAGAUAGCUGGUUCUCCCCGAAAGCUAUUUAGGUAGCGCCUCGUGAAUUCAUCUCCGGGGGUAGAGCACUGUUUCGGCUAGGGGGCCAUCCCGGCUUACCAACCCGAUGCAAACUGCGAAUACCGGAGAAUGUUAUCACGGGAGACACACGGCGGGUGCUAACGUCCGUCGUGAAGAGGGAAACAACCCAGACCGCCAGCUAAGGUCCCAAAGUCAUGGUUAAGUGGGAAACGAUGUGGGAAGGCCCAGACAGCCAGGAUGUUGGCUUAGAAGCAGCCAUCAUUUAAAGAAAGCGUAAUAGCUCACUGGUCGAGUCGGCCUGCGCGGAAGAUGUAACGG
rnacentral:rRNA from 1 species